AUACCGGGUUUGGCUCUUUCACCUGUGCGCGUAUAGGAUAUUGGUAUCCCAAUUCGGUGAGAUUAAAGAAUGACAUUAUUUCUGCUAGUUCAACACCGACGGUAUAUCCUGAAGAUCACGUGAAGAACAAAAAAUAUUCCUGAAGAGGAAGUCUUGAAAAGCAACCUCUAAAACGCGAAAACUUUUAAUUAGAGACGGGUUUCAUCGAGGAAACGUUGAUUUUGCAUCAAUAAGCGAACAGGUGCAUUGCGUCUAUUUCCGGGAUAUCCUUGGUUACGUGCAUUGUUGUUAUCGUCCCCUGAUGGACGAGGCUGGCAAAUAAGAAAAUAUACUUUCAUAUUUUCAACAUUUUUGUUAUAGUAAUAAAAUAAUUUUUAUUACAAAAUCUGUUUAAAAUUUUUAAAUUUUGUUGAAGUCAGAUUCUAUCAUGUAUAGGAGUUACAUUUUGAUAAUUUUUGGGGGGUAAGACUUUAGUGAACGAGGUUAAUCAUUGAUUUGCUCAUGGAGUCUUCUAGAAUCUGCACAUGAAUUGGGCGUAAGACGAGUGAGAGAAAUCCAUUUUCAUCUAGUAAUCCACAAGCGAAACUUCCGUUUUUCACAUAAAAAUGUCUUCUCUAGGAUCUCUCGCAUUCGAUGAAUAUGGUCGGCCUUUCAUCAUCAUCAGAGAUCAAGAUUCAAAGUCGAGGUUAACUGGGAUCGAAGCACAGAAGUCUCAUAUUCUUGCUGCAAAGACAGUUGCAAACACAUUACGAACUUCAUUAGGCCCAAAUGGCUUGGAUAAAAUGCUUGUCAGCCCCGAUGGUGACGUAACAGUUACUAAUGAUGGUGCCACCAUUUUGGACAAGAUGGAUGUAGACCAUCAAAUAGCCAAGCUCAUGGUUCAACUCGCAAAGUCACAAGAUGAUGAGAUUGGUGACGGUACCACAGGUGUCGUCGUUCUUGCUGGAGCAUUGCUGGAGAAGGCAGAACAGCUCCUUGAUAGAGGUAUCCAUCCAAUCCGCAUCGCCGAUGGCUACGACAUGGCCGCUAGGAUAGCUACUAGGAGAUUAGACGAGAUUGCAGAUGCCUACGAUGUCAGUCCAAACAACCUCGAACCACUCGUCCAGACAGCCAUGACCACUCUGGGAUCAAAAAUCAUCAACCGUUUCCAGAGGAAGAUGGCUGAGAUUGCUGUAAACGCCAUCAUGGCAGUAGCUGACCUUGACAGGAGAGAUGUUGACUUUGAGCUCAUCAAGGUCGACAGCAAGGUUGGAGGCAAGCUAGAAGACACCAUGCUGGUCAAAGGUGUGGUUGUCGACAAGGACUUCAGUCACCCUCAGAUGCCAAAGGUAGUAAAAGAUGCCAAGAUAGCCAUCCUGACCUGUCCCUUUGAACCUCCCAAGCCCAAGACCACACACAAACUUGAUGUCAAAUCGGUGGAAGAUUACAAGAAGCUCAGGGAUUACGAGAAGAAAAAAUUCACAGAGAUGGUGCAACAGGUUAAAGAUACAGGAGCCAACCUUGCUAUCUGUCAGUGGGGCUUUGACGAUGAGGCUAACCAUCUUCUGUUACAAAGAGAGCUACCAGCCGUCCGCUGGGUAGGAGGUCCCGAGAUUGAGCUGAUUGCCAUUGCUACUGGAGGGCGCAUCGUACCCAGGUUUAGCGAGCUGACGGCCGAUAAGCUUGGUAAGGCAGGCAUCGUCAGGGAGAUUGACUUUGGUACCACCAGGGAUAAGAUGUUGGUGAUCGAAGAUUGCCAUAAUUCAAGAGCAGUCACCAUCUUCAUCAGAGGAGGCAAUAAGAUGAUUGUCGAAGAAACAAAGCGCAGUCUUCACGAUGCCCUGUGUGUGAUCAGGAAUCUUGUCAAGAGCGGUAACAUUGUGUAUGGUGGUGGAGCAUCUGAGAUUGCUUGCUCACUAGCAGUCAGCCAACAAGCAGAAUGGGUAUCAACCAUAGAACAGUAUGCCAUGCAUGCCUUUGCCGAAGCCCUGGAGUCUAUCCCGAUGGCCCUGGCAGAGAACAGUGGUCUUCACCCAAUCCGUACUGUGGCUGAUGUCAAAUCAAGACAGCUGAAGGAGAACAACCCAAGAUUGGGCAUUGACUGUAUGGGCAAAGGAACCAAUGACAUGAAGGACCAGCACGUGUUUGAGACGUUGAUCGGUAAGAAGCAACAGAUCAACCUUGCUUCUCAACUUGUCAGGAUGAUCCUCAAGAUAGAUGACAUCAGGGCACCAGGGGGAUAUUAGGAACACAAGUACUUCACAGUAGUAGAAUAUUUAAUUUAUAUGCAAACAGCACUGUGCUCAGUAUAGGAAUGUGUUCAACGUGUAAAGCAGGAGGUAAAGAGUAAAAUGCAUUUGUAGAGCAAGGAAAUCACUCUUCAGACAAUUCCGUAGAUUUACGCCAUCUAUUGGUUGCAGCAGACUGGCCGAAAUUUGCAAUGCCCUCAUAUAUUGCGUAUAUUUAGUGCUGGCCAACGCAGGUCGACCGGAUAUGUGGAAGAGAAAUUUGCUUGCAUAUUUCUUUGUGAAAUUUAGAUUUAGCUGCAACCUAUAGAUGGCGCUCCAUAUAGAGUACCGAAGUGAUCCCUAUUGAAGUCAAUGUAUUAUUGGCCAAUACGGUAUAAGCGAAUUGACGGCGAAUUUAACAACAUGCGAAAAUAUGCUAAUAUGCCAUUGAAAACAUGCUGUGGUGAAAAAGUUUAGAUGUGAGAUAUAUUAGUGAUUCAAAAAGUUAAUUUCUCAAACAAAAUCAGAGCCUAAACUAAACGUAAUUUCAUUAAUAUUUAUAUAUUUAAUGUGAAAAUUCUGGACAGUAAUACAUUGACUUCAAUGAGUUUGUGGGGUUUUUCAGCAAAAUAUGGGAUAAAAAGUGCUGAAAAAGUGAAUCUCAAGAAUAAAAGAAAACCAAAACCCAAGGCAUGAAUUAAACAUAUUGGGUAUCCAAAAGACCAUGUGGGUCAAUUUCCCUUAACCAGUACGGGGAAGUGAUGGCAUCUAUAUUCUAAAUACUCAUCGCAAUAUAUGUAUAAAGCAGUGCGUGAUCCUGUAGAUUUGAUGUGAGUUGUAUUAUGGCAUUUACAAAAUGUUUUUCCAUUAUUGAACACGGAAGAAUCCCAAUUGUGUGUAAAUGUGUAUUUUUUUUUGUAUUGAUGUAAGAAUGAAUAAAAACAAUAGACGAAA